rnacentral:rRNA from 1 species
AUUGAACGCUGGCGGCAUGCCUUACACAUGCAAGUCGAACGGUAACAGGUUAAGCUGACGAGUGGCGAACGGGUGAGUAAUACAUCGGAACGUGCCCAGUAGUGGGGGAUAGCCCGGCGAAAGCCGGAUUAAUACCGCAUACGACCUAAGGGUGAAAGGGGGGGAUCGCAAGACCUCUCGCUAUUGGAGCGGCCGAUGUCAGAUUAGGUAGUUGGUGGGGUAAAGGCCCACCAAGCCGACGAUCUGUAGCUGGUCUGAGAGGACGACCAGCCACACUGGGACUGAGACACGGCCCAGACUCCUACGGGAGGCAGCAGUGGGGAAUUUUGGACAAUGGGCGCAAGCCUGAUCCAGCCAUGCCGCGUGCGGGAAGAAGGCCUUCGGGUUGUAAACCGCUUUUGUCAGGGAAGAAAUCCUUUGGGUUAAUACCUCGGGGGGAUGACGGUACCUGAAGAAUAAGCACCGGCUAACUACGUGCCAGCAGCCGCCGUAA